UGCUCCUUUUUGCAGUGAGCACAGUGGUGUCUCCAUAGAGAUCGUCAUGUCCAGAAUCAUCAACUUGCCAGCUUGCACUGUUUUCCUGUGAAAGCUGAUGCCCAGGCUAGGCUUCUGCCAUUUAUACCUGUGUUUCACAGUUGAGGAUAUAAAAUAAGAUCUGGCCUUUUCUUGUCCUGUGGACACAUUUGCCUCCUAAUUCUUAAGGUGCCAGUGUUUAGUAUUUGUUGCCCAGCAAGGAGCUCACGUAGGCUGCGUCUGUAUUGCAGGGAAGCAGUGCCUUUGAGAAAUCCCUGAGGUGGCUGGAGGCUGCACAAAGUUGUGCUGCUGUGUUGAGGGGCUGGCCUAGGCUUUGGGUGCAGGAUGACUGCAUGGACAGGCAAAACAUGUCACACAGCUGCUGCUGUCUCCCCUGUUUUUGUGGGGCUUUGGUCUACCUGGCUGCUAAGUGGGAGUGUAAUCCUCCAGACAUUUCAAAAGAGGGAGGAGAAAUACCACUAAUCUUGGAACACUGCAGUUAAGACUCUGGAGCAAGAACAGUAUCCACUUCCUAGCUUCGCCAUGGCAAGAAUGACCUCGGAGACCUCCUGAGACCUCUUGUCCACAUUUCACUGUUUAAGGGACCAGUGUGCAUGUGACCCUGUAACAUUGUAAACCGCCGCUGAAGUGUGUCCCUUAUAACUGGUGUUUGAAGAUGGGAACAGUCUACGACCCUUCAGAAGAAUUUUAGCUCCAUCCUCCUGAAUGUGGCUCUGAAGGAUCUCAGAAAAGUGACCGCUGCCAGAAGGCAGGAGACAUUGGCCUGUGCUAGAUCCCAGCCUACCUUCUCCAGUCCUAUGGAGAGCAGAGGCUGCUCUGGUUCUGCAUUCCCAGCAGCAUCUCCCAGUCACAGCGGCUGGAUAAAGGACAGCAGCCCCAGGUUUUGCUUCGAGAACUUAAUCUGCACUGUCGUCCCUCAUUACUGCCACUCAGCGCCGUUGUGUCCAGCCAU